GGAAGGGUCGCAUAGUCUGGCCUAGUGCGCGCGAUUGGAAAUCGCGUAGGGUUUAUAGCCCUCGAGGGUUCGAAUCCCUCCCCUUCCGCCA
rnacentral:tRNA from 1 species